AUGGAAGAUAAACUUAAAGAUGCUAAGAUCGUCUUUGUGGUGGGUAAGUUGAAUUGCCUUUACUUUUCACCUCGUCUGCUAACUAUCAUUCAUAAAAUGAGGCAUGUUUUUUGUGAAUGUAAACUCAUAAUCAUAAGCAGUGUUGGAGAGAAACUUAUUGUGAAACCAGAUCAGCUUUCUGUAGGAAUGACAAAAGCACCAUGAUACACUAUAAAAAUGAAUUUUAAAAGUUGUAAACAAAGAUAACAUGCAAUUUCUUUGUAAUUGAUUGUACCAUGAUACACUAUAAAAAUGAUUUUAAAAGUUGUAAACAAAGAUAACAUGCUAAUUUCUUUGUAAUUGAUUGUGAAAUUUACUAGCAAUUUCUGAGUGAAAGCAAAUCAGUUGAUGAAUUCAUAAAUAUAAGUUUCAAAUAAUGCAGUGCCUUUCUGUUCUAUUUGUUUGCUGCUAAGUGUAAAUGUCACAUAAAGCCCAAGUAAAGCAUGCGUCUCUGAGCCAUCACUCCUCCUCGUAUCAGAGCGGCUCUGAUUCUGUGUAAAUGAAAUGCUGCAUCAGAGCCGUUGUCAUGGAUACUGGCAUUCAUAUUACAUGAGAAUCAGCACAGAAGACAAGAUUUUGUCAAAUGGCUUUCAAUGGAUUUACAAAUGCAUUUCAUCGUGACGUCUUUUUGUGUGCCAAAGCAACGUAAACAGAAAAAAGUAGCAUAACUAAAAACAUGUUCUUCAACACUGUUUAUCCAUUUCAAAAGUCCAUUGUAUUAAAAAACAAUAGUUCUUCUAACACUGUUUAUCCAUUUCAAAGUCCAUUAGUAUUUAAAUACUACUGGUCAAAGGUUUGAAAAUAAUUAAGAUUGAAAACGUUUCUGCUCACCGAGGUUGCAUUUAUUUAAAAUACAAUAAAAACUAUAAAAUAUCAGCUGUUUUCCAAUGUGAAUAUAUUGUGAAAUGUAAUUUAUUCCUUUGAUCAAAGCUGAAUUUUUUGCAUCAUUGCUCCAGUCUUUUCCUGAAGCAUUUCUGAUUAUUAUCAAUGUUGAAAACAGUUGUGCUGCAGAAUAUUUUUUUGUGGAAACCAUGAUAUAUUUUAGCCUAUUGUUCAGGAUUCUUUGAUGAAUAGAAAGUUCAAAAGAACAGCAUUUAUUUGAAACAGAUUUUUUUGUAACAUUAUAAAUGCCCUCACUGCCACUUUUGAUCAAUUACUGCAUCUUUGCCAAAUAGAAGUAUCAGCUUUGAUCACAGGAAUAAAUGACAUUUUAACAUAUAUUCACAUAGAAAACAUCUAUUUUAAACUGUAAUAAUAGUUCACAAUUUUUACUUUAUUUUUGUUCAAAAUAAAUCAUUCAAACUUCCUAACUCUACUUCAACUACACAGACACAGGGAUUCAGUAGCCGUCAGACUUUUAAAGCUUAGUUUAAACUUUAUGUACUAGUUUUGUCAAGCUGACAUUCGAAUGCCUUUUCUCUUCUCUCUCUCUCUGUGUGUGUUCACUGCUAAUGGUCACACUGAUCCAGACUUUAAUCAAAUAUUACCUUCACAAGUUCUCCUUCUUUAGUGCUCCAGACUGAAAAUCAUCUCUAAACUUUAUUCUUUAAUAUAUAUAUACCAUAUAUAUUUUUAAAUCUCAUAAUUAUAAUGUAGUAUGUCAUAAAUGUAACUUUUUAUCUCAUAAUUAAAAAUGUUUAAUGUAAUUUUGACUUGGUACUGUAUGUCACAAUUACUUUUAAAGUCAUAAUUUCGGCUUUUCAUCUCAUAGUUUAACUUAGUAUGUCAUAAUUUUGACUUUAAAAUUAUUAUUAUAUUGUCAUUAUUAUAGGAUGAAAAGUCAAAAUGAUGACAUUUUGAAAUUGUAACAAAUGACAAAUAAUUAAAAUUAUGCUAAAUCGAAAUUUUAAAAAGGCAAAAAAAAAAAUAACUAUUAUUAUCAUCAUUUAGUAUGUUUUAAUCUUACAAUUAUGACUUAAUAUGUCAUGAUUUAAACUUCUGAAGUCAUAAUUUCAACUUUUUAUCUCCAUUUUCUCCAUACAGGAAUUUAUUUUUAACAAUAACUGAUAAAUGUUUACAGACAGACCAACUGUGAGCUCUAAAGGUUGUUAAUCUGUGAUAUAUACUUUUGUUGAUGUCAUCCGUUGGCAUUAUUUUAAAUUAUUUUUUAAAAUAAUUGUGUUAACAGCUGAAUUUGUGGUGGAAAAGCCACAUUAACGAUGACACUGUGUAAAAAAUUCCACAAAUCAGGGAGAAAUGGAGCACAAACUGUACCAAACGAGUCUGCCUUAAUAUGCUGUCAAAAUACUAAAAUAUUUGUAUAUAAUUAAGGAAUAAUUGACGACGGGCCGUUGCAUUAUUAGAAAAAUAAUGCACACCCUGGCGGAGUGCCCGUUACACCACGGGUGUGCAUUAUUUUUCUAAUAAUUCAACUGCCCGGAGUCAAUUAUUCCACUUAUGCUACGGUUACCACACCUCAAGAUAUCGAUCAGAUGAUAUAUUUAAAGAGAUUCGUCCAGUUUUUGUAUUCAAAUCGCUAUUGUGUGUAGGAUUAUUUCUUUCACAUCUCAUCCAACGCAUCUUUUGCUGGUUCCAAAACAUCAUUUUAAAGCUGGUAAUGGAGGCUUGAGCCAUUGAUAGCAUUCUAAUGCAGUUAUUAAUCAAGAUAUUAGAAAGAGAGCGAGAGAGACAGAGAAAGAGAGAGAGAGAGAGAGAGAGAGAGAGAGAGCUUGUGUGAUGUAGGCUCCCUAUGAUGUCCCUCAGCAGAGUUCUGCAGCAGCGUCUCUAAACAGCGCUGUUAUUACCUGGCUAGUGAGAAAUGUCAUGUGUAUUUACUUUUGGAAAAUCAUGUCAUGUUGUUGUUUUUGUUAGUCCUGUAAUUUCCGUUAUUACAGUUUUACUAUGCGAAGUGAUAUGGAACUGUAAUGCGGUCAAGAGAGCUACCAUCCGUUUCCCAGAAAAUAAUUGCACACCUCAGAAUGUUCGUCGGCCAAUCAGAUUCAAGCAUUCAACUUAAAGUAUAUUGUUACUAUAGAUAAUAGAUAUAAUCAGCAACUUAAAUAAUUAUUUAUUUCACCAUUGUCUGAUUUUGAAAUACUUUUUUGCUUCAAAUCAAAGUUUGCAAUGUUAUUUUGAUAAAUAAUUAUAAUUUAAUGUCAAUAAUUUAAUUUAAUAUAAUUUAAUUUAAAUAGAUUUUUGCUGCUGUGAGUUUAUUUUAUGAAAUCUUCCCAGCUAUAUUCAGUUGAAUCGUUCUAUUAAACUGAUGCACCCUGUGAAACCGUGGUUUGCAGUGAUUUUAGAACACCUCAACAUCAUACCUACAACAACCUGUAGCUCUCCUAAAAUAACUGUCCUUCACAUCUCAACCUGUCAAGAGCUGUAUAAAUAAAUAUAUAAAAUAAAAGUCAAAGUAAUAAAAUGACUAAAAUUGAAAUAAGAAUUAAUUAAAGCUAAACAGAAAAUUUAAUACACACACACACACACACACACACACACACACACACACACACACACACACACAUACACACACACAUAUGACAAAAGCACAUAAUUAAAUUACAUUUAAAUGAAACUGAAAAUACUAAAAUGAAAGUUAAUGAAAUAUAUACUUCAUAAGUAUAUAAAUAAUACUAAAAUAACACUUCUUCUUACAUACUUUAUUUAUAUGCAGAUUAUCCUUUAAUUCUUUCGGCAUGAACUAGUUCUUCACAGGUUCACCCACAUGCAUAACCCAACAGUGUGAGAGAGAUCCACUGUUAUUUUAGUAUCAUUAAGAUACUGUUAGUUAUUAAUAUUAUUUAAUUUGUUUUUCUUUACAUUUUACAUUUUCAUUAUCAUUUUAUUUUUUAAAAAAUGUGAUUUUGUAGUUUCUCAUUUUUAUUAUUCUUUUAAUGACUAUAUAGUUUUUAUUCACUUUUAUUUAAAUUAUAGUUCAAGUUAUUUUAGCACAUUAAACUAAAUGGAAAUGAGAAAUUGUCAUGGCAACUCAAUUAAAUAAAAUAGGUAUUUACAGUACUUGCAUACUUGAACAUGAAUAACAUUAAUAAACAUGAAUUCAUUUUUAUUAACUAUUAUAACCUGGAGAGACGUGCUGCUUUCUAGUGAACAAACCGCUCACUGGAUCCUGACAAUAUUUAGGUGAUCAUGAGACCAAAGAUGUCCAAACCACACAAAACACAUAACUUUUGUUUUACAGUUUUCUCAGUCACUUUGUCUUUUUGUGACAAGUUGUGUUUGGACAAAUGGUAUGUUUGGUAUGCCAAUGUUAAUUUUUUUAUGUUAUUAUUAAAAUAAAGCAUAAUUUUGUGCACAGUGUUUAGAGAAGAUGAUGCAUGGUGUAUAUAAUUUGUUUGAAAUAAAAACUUAUCAACUGUUCAGGAUAAUUAAUUAUUAUUCUAAACUGUGUUGAGAACAGUGACCUGAGUUUGGAGAAAUGUGUCAGAUUGAUUUAGGAACUUAAAUCAACUGUUCAGGAUAAUUAAUUAUUAUUCUAAACUGUGUUGAGAACAGUGACCUGAGUUUGGAGAAAUGUGUCAGAUUGAUUUGGAAAAACUGUAAUGCAAUGAUGCAAUUUUGCAAUUGAAAU
rnacentral:lncRNA from 1 species